UUUUUUUUUUUUUUUUUAAUUGGGUGAAGAGCCAAAAAGCUACUGUCCCUGGGUGCCAGGCAAGCCAGUUCCUUGGUUCCCUGAAGGGAACUUGCUCUCCUCUCUUGUGGCACCAUCCAGCCUCAGGGUCUUAGGGACUUUUGAGUAAGAAUUUAAAUGGCUGAGGGAGAGGCCAGAGGAGACUAGAGGUCACAAGAUGGAUCUGUGGAGGUAAGAGGUUGCAGAGGGAGGAGUUUGUGAUAGAUUCCACCCAGACCUAAGUUGCUGGUGGGUGGGAGAGCUGGGAAGUAGGAUUAUCCAGGGAAGGGUGAAGAGGGGUAGCCGAGGGACUGGGGGGGAAGGGGGGUGGGGAAGGUAGAAGCACUGUUAGCAUCAUCCAUACAGGGGUUGAUGAAGGAAGGGAUCCUGGCAGAAUUUUUGCUCUGGGACCCGCAAGUUGCCUAGUAUUAUGCUUGAGGCCACUCUCACUAGGAGGAAGGGGCGGCCAAAUGGAGGCCCAGUGGAUGGUAGGCUGCUUAAUUUCCUGGAAGGGGUGAUUGGAUGGAAAGAGGCCAGGAACCCCAGCCUGAGCGAGACUGCCGUGCACCCCACAGUCUGACUGCACAGAGCCGCCUCUGUUGGCAGAAGGCGCUGAGGCUCCCCUUCCUGUGUAUUCAGAAUCCGUGUUUGCCAAUAUAUUUUGCUUUCAAUUCCAAGAGGAGCUCUGGGAAAACCUGUGGAUAAAACCAAAUGCCAAACGUUUUGGACGUUGUUUCCUUUUCCUUUUUCUCUCUCUGAUUGUUUUAAUUGUUCUGUGGUGGUUUUAAUGGAUUUGAGACCCUGGAGCGGCAGCUGCCUUUCUGAUUUCCAGCUGCUUUUUGUGAAUAAUUUAAAAAGAAAAAAAAAAAAAGAAACUUUACAUUUUGGAGACAAACCUGUGUGAGUUUUUUAUUGGUACAAACGUUGUAUUUAACACUAGGGGUUUUGUACAGUUUUUUGCCUUUUCUACUAGAAAACAAUGUAAAGUGAUUUCACAAUGUGAAGAGAAAAAAAAAUUGCCACUAUGACCAAACGCACAGUCUGUUCUGCAGCAACAACGGGAUUCAAUCAACUCAAAGUCGUGAUUCAGCCGUAGAAAUGCUUUUCCUUUACCUUGUUUGAGCUUUUCCUUUCUUUCCUGUUUUGAUUUGCAAAAGAAAAUGUCUUUUUUGUGUGAACUUGUGUUGUACUAUGUAGAAAAUUAUGGAUUUUACUUUAAUGGUUUAAAAAAAAAAAAGGCAAGAAGAGCCUUUGUCGCUUUUCUGACCUGAUCACAGAGUUUGUGUAGUGGAUUAAAAAAGAAAAAAAAAUUGUUACAAGUUUGGAGCAAGGGAGUAUGUGUUUAAAAGGAAUCUCCUUCCUUUUUGUGUGUUUUUCCUUUUGUCCCAAUGGGGAACCUAAAUCUGUUUUAAUUGCACAGACACACGGACAAAAAGUCAUUUUGUAUCUGCCAAGUGUGGUACCUUCCUUUGUUUAUUUGCUAUUAAACUGUUUGAGAAGAA
rnacentral:lncRNA from 1 species